rnacentral:tRNA from 1 species
GGGGUGUGGCUCAGCGGUACAGCACUUGCCUGGCAUGUGUGAGGCUCUGGGUUCCAUGCCCAACACCAAUCA